rnacentral:sRNA from 1 species
AUAAAAAAUAAAUUAUCUACAUCCUCUGCAGUAGCUGUAUUAUUCAUCAGAUGUUCAUAUAUAUCAUUAAUCUCUUAUUGAAUUGAAUUGGUGGCUUUUUUCUUUGAUUCUUUCACCAGCCACUUGACACUCUUAUAAUAUUCUUUUUCAGCAUCAUCAUCUUUAUGUUGCACAAUCUUUCUAUUUGCAUCUCUGACACAUUGAGUUCUGUCUGUAUGAGACUGCCUUGGAAAAUCUUAUUCAAUUGAUCACUCAGAUAGAGGGACUUGGAAUUGAUUAUAUUCUCUAUAUCUUGCAUUGCAGUCUUUGCUAUCUGAAUAUGGUGUUGUAGCUUCUCAGUUGUCUUGGAUGAGAAUAGCUGCAAGGAUGCAGUAUUUGAGCAGCUUGAUUAUGAGAAGAAAAAGAAGUCAUUUCCACUGUAUAUUCACAGAUUAGAAUAGUCAGACAGCUUUUCAUCUAACUUAUCAAGUAUAGAUUGCAG